UUUACAAAUUUUAAAAAUAUUUAAUGAUGCCAAGGAUAUUGCUAAAUCAGGAGGCAGCAAUCAGCAGCCAAGUCAGAAUAUUAACCAAAGUUCUUCCAAAAUCACAUCACCAAGAUUAUUAAAUGAUAAAGAUUUAGAUUCAACUGCUGAUAAUGAUGCUGAAGGUAAUGCUACAUCAAGCAACUAUCAGCAGUCAACUCAGUAAUGAUUAAAAUUCUUCCGACAUUUCACCGAAGAGAUUAAGUUGAAAUGAUAAGUUUUUGAAUGAAGACCUAAUCACCAACGGUGAUGGCCAAAUUAUUUUCUUUGAGGAGUUUGAAAUGUUAAUUAAAAUUAAGAU